UACAGAGGGGGCAAGCGUUGUUCGGAAUUACUGGGCGUAAAGGGCGCGUAGGCGGCCUUCUAAGUCGAACGUGAAAUCCCCGGGCUCAACCCGGGAACUGCGUCCGAUACUGGAAGGCUUGAAUCCGGGAGAGGGAUGCGGAAUUCCAGGCGUAGCGGUGAAAUGCGUAGAUAUCUGGAGGAACACCGGUGGCGAAGGCGGCAUCCUGGACCGGUAUUGACGCUGAGGCGCGAAAGCCAGGGGAGCAAAGCGGG
rnacentral:rRNA from 1 species